rnacentral:misc_RNA from 1 species
GAUGAAGAACGCAGCGAAAUGCGAUAAGUGAUGUGAAUUGCAGAAUUCAGUGAAUCAUCGAAUCUUUGAACGCACAUUGCGCCCUUUGGCAUUCCGAAGGGCACACCUGUCCGAGCGCCGUCGCACAACUGAGGCGCAGCCUUGCGUUGGCGGGCGACUUGUGAGUAGCGAGUCGCCGCCCAAACGAGACGGCGCCGCGCCGCGGCCGACGAAGCACGAAAGCGGAAGUCGACGCGGAGGCGGUUGCCUGUAGGAAGACACAGCUUGGCCUCGGAUCAGGUGGGGAUACCCGCUGAACUUAAGCAUAUCAAUAAGCGGAGGA